UGUAGGCCUGCUGCCAUCACCACCAAAAUCCUCCGCUUAUGGUUUCCCGGAGCCCCUUCUCCCUCAACUCCGGCCAUGGCGGCCACCCUUAUCCUUAAACCCUCACCGUCGUUCUCCGCCCAUCCUCCGCCGUCACCGCCGCACCUCCUUCACGCCUCCUCCCCGUUCCGGCUAUCCACACCAUUCUUCAGACCAACCACAACAAUCUUCUCUCCACCAUUUCACCACCACUACCACACUUCCUCCUCAUCUCAAACCGUUUUCAGUACCAUCGCCACCGGUCCUGACCGAAUCACUUGUUUUAAGAGUCCGGAAUCUGAAUCUGACCUAAUUUCCACUUUCAAUGACAGAACUCUGAAACAAGAGUUCACGGCCGAAUCACGAAGCGGAAUUCCGGUAGGUAUAAACAGGAUUCCGGUGCCGAUGUAACGGAUGAAGAGGUUGAGAAGUAUAUACAACUUGUGAAGCAGCAGCAGCAACGAGCGUUCCGAAUGAAAGCGGGGCGCCUCGAGGUUUGGGGAGAUUGAAGGAUAUGAGUGUUUGGGAGAAGAGGAAAAUUAAAAGGAAGGUUGCGAUUCAGACAAUGGUUCUUGAUUUGAUGGAGGUUUAUUUAAAUAGAUUGAGAUUAAGAAGGUUUUUCUGUUAUACAGUUUUAGUUAUCGAUUAUGAAUUCAACAUCUGAUUUCAAUUAUUUGCUGUUGUUUCCCCUCUUU